UACGUAGGGAGCGAGCGUUAUCCGGAUUUAUUGGGUGUAAAGCGUGUGUAGGCGGUUUCUUAAGUCAGUAGUCUAAGCCUGGAGCUUAACUCCAGUUCGCUACUGAAACUGAGUUACUUGAGUAUGGUAGAGGCAAGUGGAAUUUCUAGUGUAGCGGUGGAAUGCGUAGAUAUUAGAAGGAACACCAGUGGCGAAGGCGGCUUGCUGGGCCAUCACUGACGCUGAGACACGAAAGCGUGGGGAGCAAAUAGG
rnacentral:rRNA from 1 species